rnacentral:rRNA from 1 species
AGUGAACGCUGGCGGUAGGCCUAACACAUGCAAGUCGAACGGCAGCACAGUAAGAGCUUGCUCUUACGGGUGGCGAGUGGCGGACGGGUGAGGAAUACAUCGGAAUCUACUUUUUCGUGGGGGAUAACGUAGGGAAACUUACGCUAAUACCGCAUACGACCUACGGGUGAAAGCAGGGGAUCUUCGGACCUUGCGCGAUUGAAUGAGCCGAUGUCGGAUUAGCUAGUUGGCGGGGUAAAGGCCCACCAAGGCGACGAUCCGUAGCUGGUCUGAGAGGAUGAUCAGCCACACGGGAACUGAGACACGGUCAAGACUCCUACGGGAGGCAGCAGUGGGGAAUAUUGGACAAUGGGCGCAAGCAUGAUCCAGCCAUACCGCGUGGGUGAAGAAGGCCUUCGGGUUGUAAAGCCCUUUUGUUGGGAAAGAAAAGCAGCAGGUUAAUACCCCGCUGUUCUGACGGUACCCAAAGAAUAAGCACCGGCUAACUUCGUG